UACGUAGGUGACAAGCGUUUGUCCGGAUUUACUGGGCGUAAAGAGCUCGUAGGCGGUUUGUUGCGUCGGCUGUGAAAUCCCGAGGCUCAACCUCGGGUCUGCAGUCGAUACGAGCAAACUAGAGUGUUGCAGGGGAGACUGGAAUUCCUGGUGUAGCGGUGAAAUGCGCAGAUAUCAGGAGGAACACCGGUGGCGAAGGCGGGUCUCUGGGCAACAACUGACGCUGAGGAGCGAAAGCGUGGGGAGCGAACAGG
rnacentral:rRNA from 1 species